UGACUGCCGGCUAAAAGUCGGAGGAAGUGGGGAUGACGUCAAAUCAUCAUGCCCCUUAUGACCUGGGCUACACACGUGCUACAAUGGGCGGUACAAAGGGUCGCGAACCCGCGAGGGGGAGCCAAUCCCAAAAAGCCGCUCUCAGUUCGGAUUGCAGGCUGCAACUCGCCUGCAUGAAGCCGGAAUCGCUAGUAAUCGCGGAUCAGCAUGCCGCGGUGAAUACGUUCCCGGGCCUU
rnacentral:rRNA from 1 species